UGCUACGUAGACAAGCCUCUACAAAUUGA
rnacentral:piRNA from 1 species